rnacentral:rRNA from 1 species
UACGUAGGCAGCAAGCGUUGUUCGGAAUUACUGGGCGUAAAGAGUGUGUAGGCGGUGCUCUAAGUCUGUUGUGAAAUCUCCCGGCUUAACCGGGAGGGUGCGGCGGAAACUGGAGUGCUUGAGGGUGGGAGAGGUAAGCGGAAUUCCUGGUGUAGCGGUGAAACGCGUAGAUAUCAGGAGGAACACCUGUGGUGUAGACAGCUUACUGGACCACUUCUGACGCUGAGACACGAAAGCGUGGGUAGCAAACAGG